AUUCACUUGGCAAUGGGUAAAAAGACACCUUGUUGGUGACAUUGCCUUAUAUCAGUCAGGGACAGAGCUGUCUUUUGUUAUUUCUAGCUUGAUGUCUGGCUUGGUGGCCAGCACUGUCUUAUGUCUAGGACACAUGA